UACGUAGGGUGCGAGCGUUGUCCGGAAUUAUUGGGCGUAAAGAGCUCGUAGGCGGUCUGCCGCGUCGGCUGUGAAAACUCAGGGCUCAACCCUGAGCCUGCAGUCGAUACGGGCAGACUAGAGUUCGGUAGGGGAGACUGGAAUUCCUGGUGUAGCGGUGAAAUGCGCAGAUAUCAGGAGGAACACCGGUGGCGAAGGCGGGUCUCUGGGCCGAAACUGACGCUGAGGAGCGAAAGCGUGGGGAGCGAACAGG
rnacentral:rRNA from 1 species